AAUUGACGGGACCCCGCACAAGCAGCGGAGCGUGUGGUUUAAUUCGAGGCUACACGAAGAACCUUACCAGGGUUUGACAUGCAAGUGGUAGGAAUCCGAAAGGUGACCGACCUUCGGGGAGCUUGCACAGGUGCUGCAUGGCUGUCGUCAGCUCGUGUCGUGAGAUGUUCGGUUAAGUCCCGCAACGAGCGCAACCCUUAUCCCCAGUUGCCAUCAGGUAAAGCUGGGAACUCUGGGGAGACUGCCGGUGAUAAACCGGAGGAAGGCGGGGAUGACGUCAAGUCCUCAUGGCCCUUACAUCCCGGGCUACACACGUGCUACAAUGGCAGGUACAGAGGGCUGCGAAGCCGCGAGGUGGAGCGAAUCCCAGAAAACCUGUCUCAGUCCGGAUUGAAGUCUGCAACUCGACUUCAUGAAGGCGGAAUCGCUAGUAACCGCGAAUCAGCAGGUCGCGGUGAAUACGUUCCCGGGCCUU
rnacentral:rRNA from 1 species